rnacentral:lncRNA from 1 species
CAAAAACGAGAUAUCGGUACGAAUAAUGUAACGAAUAAAUAAGGCACAUAAAUAAGUACAUAAUAGACAUGGAAGAAAUUUAGAGUAGAUGACUCAACCUGCAUGUCUGGAUAACUCUGUAAAUCAUUAAAUAAUUAUAGUGUCGUGCAUAUGCGUAUGAAUGUCCGUGCAUAGGAACAUAUUUUUGAUAAUAUCAUUAGUCCUUUGAGGGCAUCCCAUCAUAUCAUCUCGUCUACUGUGGGUAAAAUCAUCAAUGUAUACCGACAAAUCAGGUGGUGGUACGUAUAUAACAUCUUAACCUUUUCUCAUAUGCCAUAUACAUAUUCUUAAAAAAGAUUGUAUUGGGCUUUCUUUAAAUUAGCAUUUCAUGCUUGACCAUGUAUCAUUUCAGAAUAUUUCACGUUUGGACAUUGUAUCGUUUCAGAGAGUUUUCACGUUUGGACAUUGUAACAAUUCAGAG